rnacentral:rRNA from 1 species
GAUGAACGCUGGCGGCGUGCCUAAUACAUGCAAGUCGAGCGAACGGACGAGCAGCUUGCUUCUCUGAUGUUAGCGGCGGACGGGUGAGUAACACGUGGCUAACCUACCUAUAAGACUGGGAUAACUUCGGGAAACCGGUGCUAAUACCGGAUAUUAUUUUAAACCUCAUGUUUCAAAAGUGAAUGUCGUCCUUUCUGUUACUUAUAUAUGGAUCCGCGCUGCAUUAGCAAGUUGGUAAGGUAACGCCUUACCAAGGCAACGAUUCAUAGCCGACCUGAGAGGGUGAUCCGCCACACGUGAACGGAGACACGGUCCAGAAUCCUACGGGAGGCAGCAGUAGGGAAUCUUCCGCAAUGGGCGAAAGCCUGACGGAGCAACGCCGCGUGAGUGAUGAAGGUCUUCGGAUCGUAAAACUCUGUUAUUAGGGAAGAACAUAUGUGUAAGUAACUGUGCACAUCUUGACGGUAGCUAAACAGAAAGCCACGGCUAACUACGUG